CGAAUUUGGACAGCCUUCGUCGCGUUGCUGUGACGUAAUCGGUCUACAAAUGUGGCCUCAGGAGGAUGCAGCCCAUGAAACGACGUAAUCCAAUAACAACUGAUGUCUUUACCCGUCGGCUUCCCAUGGCUGUCAUGCGACCGGCUAUUGCAAGUGAAGAGGAGGAUCGGGAGCCUUUGGGAUGGCCUGCCAGUCAGAAGGACACACCAGGUGACCCAGAGAGAGGUGAGGAGGUGAAACUUGCUGAUGUAGCUGGAUGGGUGGUGCAGAAAGUGGCUCAAGAUCCAGAAGUCAGUGCUUGUACCGAAUGUGAAAGUUUGCUUGUGGAGACCAAUGACACAGAGCACAACUAUCACACACGGAUGGAGAAGGAUGCCGUCUCAGCUGUGAAGAAAAGCCCAACCUCUGCCCGGCUGCUUCAUCCAUCCGAAGCUUUCAAAGAAUGCAUUUCGAAAUGUGACAGCGUCAUCCAAAAAAUCCCCCCAAAUGCAAUGGCCCCGAAGAAAUUAAAGGCCUACCUCAGAGCCAGCGGUGCUUUCAGUGAGCUCCACCGCAUCCAUCCUGCCCACUCAAAGGCCAUCGAGAGGGUCGCCGUGAAUAAAUAUGUGAUGUGCAGGGUGGUGGCCGAGCUGAAGGAAACAGCACAAAACAGAAAACGCACACAUGAGAAAAAAAGUGCUGCGUGUCAAGAGCUAAAUGUUAGCACCCUUGAAGUAAAUCAGGACUAAAUAAAUAUAAAAUGUUGUUAAUUUGAUAAUAAAUUAUUUUAGGCCAUUCUAACUUGUCUGUGUUGUUUCAAGCUUUCCUCCAUUUGACCUAGACGCAUUUAGUUUUUCAAUUUCAGUUCAAUUUUACAUAGUGCCG
ensembl:lncRNA